rnacentral:rRNA from 1 species
GAUGAACGCUGGCGGCGUGCUUAACACAUGCAAGUCGAACGGUGAAGCAGAGCUUGCUCUGUGGACCAGUGGCGAACGGGUGAGUAACACGUGAGCAACCUGCCCCUGACUCUGGGAUAAGCGCUGGAAACGGCGUCUAAUACUGGAUAUGAGCUGCGAUUGCAUGGUUAGCUGUUGGAAAGAUUUUUCGGUCUGGGAUGGGCUCACGGCCUAUCAGCUUGUUGGUGAGGUAAUGGCUCACCAAGGCGUCGACGGGUAGCCGGCCUGAGAGGGUGACCGGCCACACGGGGACUGGGACACGGCCCAGACUCCUACGGGAGGCAGCGGUGGGAAAUAUUGCACAAUGGGCGAAAGCCUGAUGCAGCAACGCCGCGUGAGGAAUAACGGCCUUCGGGUGGUAAACCUCUUUUAGCAGGGAAGAAGCGAAAGUGACGGUACCUGCAGAAAAAGCGCCGGCUAACUACGUG